rnacentral:tRNA from 1 species
AGCCGGUUCGUUCAACGGCAGGACGCGGGACUUUGAAUCCCGGUACGAAGGUUCGACUCCUUCACCGGCUACCA